GGGGAGGGGGUGGGCCAGCCAGGGCAGGCAGGGACAGCCUCUCUGACGAGGAGGCCACUGGGCUGAGACCAAUGAAUGAGAAGGAGCCAGUCAUGUAGUGAGCCAGAAGAGGGCAUCCCGGGCAGUGGGUCCAGCAUGUGCAAAGGUCCUGGGGCUGGACAGUUCUUGUGGGUAUUGGGUACAGGAUGAUCCCUGGAUGAGCGCCCGAGUGCAUGAAGCAUGUGUGGAGAGUGUCAGCUCCCAACAUGGCUGCAGGAGGGAGUUGUUUAAUGAGUUUCAGCUCUGCAGGAUGAAAACAGUUUGCGUGUUAGAAAUACACAUUCUCAGCUCCACCCCAGCCCUGUCACAGACCCUCCAGGGAACCCUCAUGCAAGCCAAAGUCUGAGAUUGGCUGCUCUCAACCACCGGGUGUUUCCCCAGGCCCCCUCUGGGUGAAUCUCAGAUGUAGCUUGGGGAGACCGAAUACAGAGGCUGACCCCUGGCAAACCCUUCCCUCUGAUACUCAGCGUUCAGUUCCAUGAAAUGGGCUCCCUAAGUCCAACCUCACAGACCCCGUAGGAAAGAGCAGAUGGAAUCUCCGAGGGCACCAGCUAUACACGGUGAUGGAAGGACCAAUGCGUCCUCUCAAUGCCACCGCAGACCACAGGCCAGUGCCCUCCAUGAGCCUGACCUUCAUGCCUCAAUCGUCGCUCCUUCUCUGUCCAAUAUGGGCCCUUCUUUCUGUCCUCCUCUUUCUUUAGGCCUUUCUCUGUCCCUCACGGCUGGCCUUGCCCCGUCCUGGGCUCUGUGGAACUGGUGCACGCCUCUGCGAGGGGGUGAACCUUGGCUCUGCCCCUUUUCUGACUGAGGAAGCUGCUUGGCCUUUCUGUGUUUCAGCUGAUCUCUAAAAUGGGAGUGAAAAUCUCUAAACUCACUGGCCGCAGUGAGAAUUAGAGAAGACGCAGCGCCCUGCUAUAUACCUGGCAUGGUCGCCGUCCGCCAACAGUGCCUAUCAGUUAUUAUCCACCAGUCAUGCUCUGAAACCCUCCACCCACCUAAACGUGUGAGACCUCUGCGACACCCCCAUCCUAGAGCUCCUUACGACCUCAUUGGUUGAGCCCAUGGGUUCCUCUGUUUCUUAGAUAUCACCAUUUUUCUUUCAUGCGUGAUUGUCUAGAACCAGGUACCUGUAAACAGGAGCACCUGCUCCAGAGCAUCCUCUAUUCUAAUUUCUCGGCAUCUCCCAUUUGUGGUUUCCCAUGAGAAAUGAGCUUGCGGCUGUGGGCAGCCUCCCUGGGCUGUCUUCUUCCUGCUCAUGUGGGAUCAGGCUCAGAGCUGGAGGUCACGGCCUGCAGGGCUCCCCGGGAGAAGCACUGCCCAGGAUGCUCUGGGGGGGAUGAAAAGUUCUAGAUUGGGCCAUCCAGGGUUCCAGUCAGCAGGCAUUAGCCACGCAUGGCUGUGUUCUUGAAGGGUGGCUCAGAAGCCAGAGAGGUGCAUUUUUAUUUUAUGUAAUCUGAAUUGAAGUGUAGACAGACACCUGUGGUUAGCAGCUUCCGAGGGGGACUGCAGCCCUGGGGAGUAUCCCACUGCUUUCAGGCUGUGCUCCCUGAGCCCCAAAGGUUCCAGCAGGUGCUUUCAGGGUUGCACCUUAGAGGCAGAAAGCAGGAAAGGUCAGUUGGCAGGGCUUUGGGCCCCACCUUCUACAGAGCACUUGUGUUCUCAUCCACGCCCCAAGCUGUUUGAAGAAAGCUUAUGAAAGGAACGAUGAGACCCCUGACUUCAGUCAAACCUUUGCUGAACGCAUAAGGAAACAGAGAGAGGGUCAUGAAAUGGAAGAACUCGCACAGCCACCCUCCUUCAGUGGGGAAAACGAGCCUGGGAACAUGCUCAAGCCCCUUUGGAGUGGGGAGUGGGAAGAUGGUGACAAGCGGUUGCUUGUGGACCCCGGUCCCUGACCCCACGGAGUGGGGACCCCAAGGGCAGUGAGGGGCAGAGUGGGUUUGUACCGGGCACUGAGACCCCAAGCUCCCUCUCUCUGGCCAUGGCUGUGGGGGUCCCCAAGUGGAAGUGGAAGAGGGAAACUGAGGAAAACAAAAUGGUCCUGCUUGAGAGAGGGAGCAUGGGCUGCUUUCUCCUCCCCCACCAGCUGGUCCAGUGAGCCUCAUCUGUUCUCACGCUGCUAAUACAGACAGACCCGAGACUGGGGAAUUUAUAAAGGAAGGAGGUUUAAUGGAUUCACAGCUCCACGUGGCUGGGGAGGCCUCACCCUCAUGGCAGAAGACGAACGAGAGGCAAAGAACGAGAGGCAAAGGCGGGUCUUACGUGGCAGCAGGCAGGGGAGCUUGUGUCAGGGAAUUCCCAUUUAUAAAACCAGGAGAUCACGUGAGACUUACUCACUACCACGAGAACAGCAUGGGGGAAGCUGCCCCCAUGACUCAAUGAUCUCCACUUGGCUCUGCCCUUGAAACGUGGGGAUUAUUACGAUUCAAGGUGAAAUUUGGGUGGGGACACAGCCAAACUAUACCAGAGCCUUUGAGAGGUGUCGAGGCUGCCACCCCAGCUGAAUUUAUCAGCAGAACAGGAAGCGGGCUGGGAAGGGCUGUAACUUUCUUGCUCUGUGAUCCAAGCUGAGACACAAAUGUUUGUUGAAAGGGACUGGGGUCAAACAAGCCUGGGUUCAAAUCCCGUCCAACCCUUCCUUGUUCUGCGACCUUGGAAGUCAGUUCCCUUCUCUGAGCUUUCACUGUCUAAUCUGUAAAAUGGGGACAAAAUAUAAAAUGGAAAACUACAAACCGGGAAGUUGGAAGUCAUACGCUUUCUGAUUUCAAAAGUUACUAGAAAACAAUGACAAUCAAAACACUGUGGUCCUGACAUACAUACAUACAGACAGAUAGACAGACCAAUGGGACAGAACACUGAGCCCAGAAAGAAGCCCUUUGACUUCUUUGACAUUCAAGCAUCUUGAGCCAAGACUCUUCAAUGGGGAAAGGGCAGUCUCUUCAACAAAUGGUAUCUGGAAAACUGAAUACCUCAUGCAGAAGAAUGAAGUUGAGCCCUUAUCUUACACCAGAUACAAAACAUUAACUCAAAAUGGAUCAAAGGCAUUACCAUAAGAACUAAAUGUAAAAAUUAAACUAUAAAACUCUUAGAAGAAAACAGCGGGGGAAAGCUUCACGAUGUUGGACUUGGCAGUGACUUCUUGGAUAUGACACCCAAUGAACAGGCAAGAAAACAAAAAACAAAUCCAUGCAAACACGUGUGCACAAAUAUCCACAGAGCGCUAUUCCUAACAGCCAAAUGCUGAGAGCAAUGAAAAUGUUCAUUGACAGGAGAAUGGAUAAACAAAACACGGUCCAUCCAUACAGUGGAAUAUUAUUCAGCCUUAAAAAGGAAGGAAAUUCUGACACCUGCUAUAAUAUGAGUGAGCCUUGAGGAUAUGGUGUCCAGUGAAACAAACCACUCAUAAAAGGACAAACAUUGUAUAAUUCUACGGACAUGACUUGCCUAAUGUCAGCAAAUUCUCAGAGAUAGAAAAUAGCGGUGGUGGGGGGCUGCCCAGGGUUACAGGGAUGGGGGUGGUGUUUAACAGGGACCUUCCUGAGCUAUUUCCUGACAGCAGCUGGGAGCCUUUUGAACAGCCUGCAGGGAGAUUCUGGAACAAUCUAAACUGCCCAUGACAGUUCCAGGGGCAGGGCUGACUUUGAACUCUAGCAGGAAGUGCAGUGCGAGGCCAGCUCACCCACUUCAAUAUCUCUUUCCUUUGCAUCGUUUAGACCCCAACAACACCCCCAAGUCCUGUCUCCCCUGGAGGGAGGAGAGGCCGGUGGGAGGCAAGAAGCCUUGUUGAGCAUCUACUGCACGCCCGGCCCUGGGGCUGUGGCUGGGAGCUGGACAGGCCGGGUCCUUGCCCUCCUGGGGCCUGCCUUCUAGUGGGGAGAGAGACAGAGACGGAGGAAACAAAACACAGACCAGAGGAUUUCAGAGGGUCUGAGGGCUCCGAGGAGAAGGAACACGAUGAUGUCAUAGAGUCAUUGUGGGGGAGGGGACGGCCAGCCAGGACAGGCAGGGGCGGCCUCUCUAAUGAGAAAGAGGCCACUGGGCUGAGACCAAUGAAAGAGAAAGAGCCAGCCACGUGGUGAGCUGGGAGCGGGCAUCCCAGGCAGUACGACCAGCGCUUGCAAAGGCCCUGGGGCUGGACAGUUCUUGGCGGAGUCUGAGGGUCUGGACACCUCCCAGGCCACCUCCGUCAUUUCACAAGAGCCAGGUCAUCUUCUCAGUGCUUGUGAGCAUCCCUUCACACUCGAUCCUUCCCACACACCUGCCAAAGGGAAGGAGGCAGGGACCACCUAAGAACACCAAGAAAGAGGAAGCAUGGUCCUCCUGCCCUGGAGGCUGUUACCAUCCGGAACACCCCGCCCUGAAAGUGCUGAGACGGGGGCUCCUCUGCGCCCCCUGGUGGUGAGGACAAGGGGCGCGCCGCCCUCCCGGAUGGGAGAACCCAGCCCGGGGUCAGGUGCCUUUCCAGAGUCCCAAGGAGCGAUUUUUAUGGUGGAAUUAAAGCCCCGUGUCAAGACAUCAGGGAGAUGUUUUGUGGGAGACACUUUUUCUCCCUUUCCCUCACGUCUGUUCAAGCCUGUGCUCAGGCCAAGUUCCCCGAUCCGACAUCACUGCGCAGAGGCCUCCCUGGUGAGGCCUAAGAAACAGGACAGGGAUUGUGCCGACAUCUUGGCUAAUGGGAAGGCACCAGUGCUGCAUGGGAGACAGGCUUCUCAACGUCUUGUCCUGGGGGCUAGAUCACUACUACAUUGUUUGUUAUGUCCAAAAAAAUGCAGAGACUACACAUGAGCCAGGGCAGUGCUGGGGGCAGGUAUCCACCCGUGGGUGAGCAGAUAUGGCCCUGCCCUCGGGAAGCUUAGAGUCUACUGGGAAUUGGUCAAACAACCACACAAACAGAUCAUUAGAAUUGGAGGGUCUGAUGAAGUUUAACCUGAGACCUGAAGGUGAGGAGCUGGCCACAGCAAUAGCUGGGAAAAGAGCACCCGGGAGGGAACAGCAUGUGCGAAGACCGUGUGGCAGGCCUUCAAGUGGAGUGUGGCUGCAGCAGAGGCUGGAGAGGGAGGCGGGGCCAAGCCAGCAUGGCUCAGAGUCCACAGAGAGAACCCGAGAUCUGCUCUGGGAGCCCCAGUGUCAUUGGAGGGGAUUCAGUGGGGAGUGGCGUAAUCCCAUUUGUAUUAUUCUUUUUCCUGAUCUAAUAAAUGCAUGUGGUUAAGAAAGAUCAAAUAAUCCUCAACAGCCUUUCCUGGAAAACACACUGUUGAUGGGAAUGUAAAUUCAUGUAGCCGCUGUGGAAAGCAGUUUGGAGAUUUCUCAGAGAUCUUAGAACUCCCAUGUGUCCCAGCAAUUCCAUCACUGGGUAUAGGCAGAAAGGAACAGACACACAUGCAUGUGUGUGUUCAUUGUGGCACUGUUUGCAAUAACAAAGACGUGGAAUCAACCCAAAUGCCUAUCGACGGUAGACUAAAGAAAAUGUGGUAUACACACAUCAUGGAAUACUA